CAGUAGCCGCGGUAAUACGGAGGGUGCAAGCGUUAAUCGGAAUUACUGGGCGUAAAGCGCACGCAGGCGGUCUGUCAAGUCGGAUGUGAAAUCCCCGGGCUCAACCUGGGAACUGCAUUCGAAACUGGCAGGCUAGAGUCUUGUAGAGGGGGGUAGAAUUCCAGGUGUAGCGGUGAAAUGCGUAGAGAUCUGGAGGAAUACCGGUGGCGAAGGCGGCCCCCUGGACAAAGACUGACGCUCAGGUGCGAAAGCGUGGGGAGCAAACAGGAUUAGAGACCCCUGUAGUCCCUGUCUCUUAUAC
rnacentral:rRNA from 1 species